GCAUGAAUAGCUCAAUUGGUUAAAGCGUGGUGCUUAUAACACCAAGGCUGCAAGUUCGAUCCCCAUAUGGGACAGCUGCA